GCAGUCGUGGCCGAGUGGUUAAGGCCAUGGGCUGGAAAUCCAUUGAGGUCUCCCCGCACAGGUUCGGAACCUGUCGACUGCG
rfam:Ixodes scapularis strain Wikel colony gcontig_1108379707898, whole genome shotgun sequence.